GCCCUCGUGAUGUAGUGGUUAGCAUCGGAGCCUGUGGAGCUCUGUGGUUGGGUUCGAAUCCCGACGAGGGCC
rnacentral:tRNA from 2 species